AUGAAAGGGAUGGAUAUAGUGCGUUUCAAGGAGACAACUAGGGUUCAAGAUUGGCAAAUUUCCUCUCUUCUUCCUCAAUCUGUGGUGCGCCUCACUUCUCCUUCUCUGAUCAAAAUCAAACAGAAUGUCGCCGCUUUUUGUCUAAGAUUACAUCCCCAACUCGCACUCUCCUCACCUCAGGUCUUAAAGAUAAUCGAAGUGAUUGAAGGUUUCGUGGUUAUCAUGACGAAAGUUAUGGAUACAGGGAAGUGUCACUCUGAAGAUAAUGAGUGA